GUGCCAGCAGCCGCGGUAAUACGGAGGGUGCAAGCGUUAUCCGGAUUCACUGGGUUUAAAGGGUGCGUAGGAGGGUAGGUAAGUCAGUGGUGAAAUCUCCGGGCUCAACUCGGAAACUGCCGUUGAUACUAUCUAUCUUGAAUACCGUGGAGGUGAGCGGAAUAUGUCAUGUAGCGGUGAAAUGCUUAGAUAUGACAUAGAACACCGAUUGCGAAGGCAGCUCACUACACGAAUAUUGACUCUGAGGCACGAAAGCGUGGGGAUCAAACAGGAUUAGAUACCCUGGUAGUCCACGCCCUAAACUAUGGAUACUCGACAUACGCGAUACACUGUGUGUGUCUGAGCGAAAGCAUUAAGUAUCCCACCUGGGAAGUACGACCGCAAGGUUGAA
rnacentral:rRNA from 1 species